UUUCUGGCCUUACAUUUAGAAUAUGAAAAUGUUCUUGAAAAUGGCGUUUAUUGUGUUUUGAAUUGCUUUGAACUUCCGUAUGUUUCAUUGUACCACCUAAAGAUUACACAGGAUGUAAUGGAAUGUGUUUACUUCAGUGUGCAAAGAAGAGGCACAUCUGUACUUUAUCGGCGUGCUUCUUUCAAGGGUUGAUUAUUUUCCUUUUAGUAGUGAUAUUUUCAUCUGUACUACAGAAUCUGUUGUGCUAAGGAUUGAGGAUUGUGAAUUAUAUUAUUUCACAUACAAAUAAUCAUUUCAACGAUAGACAUCGCUGAACUAAUAGAAAAAGGGAUAUUUACUAACAUUUCAUGUUUAGCGUCCACCUUGAGAAAUGUUCACUAAUAUCGAGACGUUACCACUUGCCGCUGGAGACCUGCAAAUGUUUUCCUAUACUCGGACGUCAGGGCCACUUAGCAGGGAGGGCUCUUUUACGGGCCAGUUCCUACUGCGACACAGGACUUUUAUAGAAGGUCUCAUCCAAAGGACCGGACUCCCCGUUCCACGGUCGGAUUCGAACCGAGAGGCGACGUAAGAAUCAACUCCUUACUUUGCAGCCCUAGAGCAGACACUCUAACCAUUGUUCCACAGUGGCGACGUAUUGCAUGUAACAAUAAAAAUAAUGUAUUCAGAU